GGACUUUGAGGGCUCGGUCAGAAGCAGGCAGGGAGCUCUGAACUGCUUUUACCAAGUUCUCAGCCGUGCCUCACCCCUCUGCAGUCAAAACCCUGCUGAUAGAACUGAGUGCAAACAGCAAAUGCAAACAGUUCUGAGGGACAAGCCCUGUGCUGUGGCUCAGGAGGGAAGCCUGUACCCGCUGAAAUAUGAUGUGCUUCUGGUUUGGAGUUGGGAACAGCAAGACAUGGGCAGCCAAAGGAGGAGCUCAGGCAGUUUAACACGACACAUGCACUGAAUGGCCACCUCUCUUGUAUGUUAGAAGAUGGAUUAGCCUGAUUCACAGGAUUUACAAUAAACUCCAUCUUCUGUGGACCCUGCUCCAUCAGUGUCACUGAGUUGUAUCCAUCUGGCACAGAAGCUCAUUUCCCGGUCUUCAGAUAUUUACUUUCAUAUUUUUCACAGGCAUAUAUAUUCCUGAACCUUCCACAAAGGAUGGAAAUUAAUACCACCAGCAGAGAGCUGCAAUUCCAGUUCAGCCAAGGCAGAUGAAACUUGAAAGAAUUCUGUGUUGUCUGUCUUCUCAUCAAAGCAUCCAUUUUCCUCAAACAUUCAGUGUAAGAGCCUAUCUGCUUCUCAUCUGCAACAGCAACUAGCAAUAUUAACUAAAUCUGCAAUGUUGUCAUCCAAGCAAGACAGCAGAUACUGAAGUGUUCAAAAGAAUAUAAAACAUAAAAAUAUUCAUAGAG